UCUGAGUAGUUCAGGCCUCAGUAGUUAAAUUCAUCGUUUUCAUUGUUUGCUGCAGGAUUCUUCUGUUAGACGUACCGUUACUCUUUGACGCCGCACUCCAAGCCUCCUGUCCACAUAUUCUUCAACAUGGGGUCUCAAAAGCCUUUUGAUUCAGAUACAAUGAAGGAGCUGAAUAACCGCUUUAUCUGCUACAUCAAUAAGAUCCGGUCCCUGGAGAACCAGAACAACACACUACAAGGAGAGCUUGAUAUUCUGAAAGAGACACAGUCCAGCCUGUUCAAGGAAGAGCAGAACCGUUUAGAUGAGCAGAUCACGUCCCUGAACAAUGAAAAAGAAAACUUAAGGGAGCAAAUAAAUGAACUGAAGGAGAGCUUGAGAAAUGAGACUAAUAAGAAAGAUGAAGCAGAGA